rnacentral:rRNA from 1 species
UUACCUGCGGAGGGAUCAUUACCGAGUUAUACAACUCCCAAACCCACUGUGAACCUUACCUCAGUUGCCUCGGCGGGAACGCCCCGGCCGCCUGCCCCCGCGCCGGCGCCGGACCCAGGCGCCCGCCGCAGGGACCCCAAACUCUCUUGCAUUACGCCCAGCGGGCGGAAUUUCUUCUCUGAGUUGCACAAGCAAAAACAAAUGAAUCAAAACUUUCAACAACGGAUCUCUUGGUUCUGGCAUCGAUGAAGAACGCAGCGAAAUGCGAUAAGUAAUGUGAAUUGCAGAAUUCAGUGAAUCAUCGAAUCUUUGAACGCACAUUGCGCCCGCCAGCAUUCUGGCGGGCAUGCCUGUUCGAGCGUCAUUUCAACCCUCGAGCCCCCCCCGGGGGCCUCGGUGUUGGGGGACGGCACACCAGCCGCCCCCGAAAUGCAGUGGCGACCCCGCCGCAGCCUCCCCUGCGUAGUAGCACACACCUCGCACCGGAGCGCGGAGGCGGUCACGCCGUAAAACGCCCAACUUUCUUAGAGUGACCUCGGAUCAGGUAGAAUCCAUGGAG